UACGUAGGGUGCAAGCGCUGUCCGGAAUUAUUGGGCGUAAAGAGCUCGUAGGCGGUCUGUCGCGUCGGCUGUGAAAACCCGAGGCUCAACCUCGGGCCUGCAGUCGAUACGGGCAAACUGGAGUGUUGCAGGGGAGACUGGAAUUCCUGGUGUAGCGGUGAAAUGCGCAGGUAUCAGGAGGAACACCGGUGGCGAAGGCGGGUCUCUGGGCAACAACUGACGCUGAGGAGCGAAAGCGUGGGGAGCGAACAGG
rnacentral:rRNA from 1 species